rnacentral:lncRNA from 1 species
GCCAAACAAACAGGUGCAGUGAUUUCUCCAUCGGUAAGAAGCGCUCCAGCAGAGGGCAGUGCGUCACACACACACACUUUAAAGCGAGGAGAUGUGUUUACAGUCAGAAUCAACAAUGUGUGUGUGUGAAAGCUGAGCCUGUGAAUCACUGUGACACUUCAAACGGCCGAUCUCAUCAUCAGUGUCAAGGGUCAGAAUGACGAGGAAGGAGGUGAUGAUCACGCUGAAAGGAGAGAGAGAGAGAGAGAGAGAGAGAAAGAAACGAGAAAACGAAUGAUAGGAAUCUGACUGGGAGAGGCCAUCAAACGCCUCCGGAUCCCAGCAGACGGGAAUCGUCUUACCUUGCACAGCAUCAGGAGGAACAUAACAUCGGACAUGCUGAGCUGGACCGUCUUUCUGAAACACACACACAUCCCUGGCCGAAUCCCAUCAUCCUUUAGCUGGGAGGGAGUUCCAGAUUGACGGAGAGACGAUGUGUUUUCUCGCGGCGCUCCAGUGUUUUCCUGCCCAGUUUCAUCUCACUUGUUCCCGAGUUGAGCUGUCAUGAGCUCCUCGUGCAAAACACUCUCUCUCUUUUUUUCUUGUGUGGAUGAACAGAUGAGAGUGGGUGGUUCAGUUACUGGCGGUACCUCUUUUUAAUUAGCCAAAGCCCCGUUAACCAACUCCAUGAGCUCUUUUCUUGGAUUCUCAGUCCUAGACUUCAGGUGUUCCUGACCUCGUUCUGCUUCUCCGAGGUUAAAAAGAUGAUCAAAACUGGGACGUUAAGUGCCUUAGAGUGCUAAAGUGAUGUUUUGAGCUGCGAAGCCUUGAGCGUGUGUUCUCAGACAGACGAGAGCGCUCGUGUUUGGUGGGAGUCGCACCGCCCAGCACUGAUGCUCCAGAGGCAGAAGGCUUCCCCUGAU